UCAUAGAAGGUCCAGUGUCUUGGCAGGGUGAAAUGGCACUGAUAUCGUGUCCUGCAGGAUGCUGUGUCCUGCAAUCCUGUGUGCUGUGCUACAGACGCGUGUGGAGGUCAACCCGAAAUGGGCACAGUAGCGUGAAAGAGGAUCCUGGCAGGGAGACGGUAGUGUCCUGCAGGAUGGUGAUGGGCAAUCUUACAAGAGACCACAGAAAACUGAUAUAGUGUAAGAUUAUCCCUGUUGGGCUCAAUAUGUCUUGCUUAUUGAUAUAUUUGCUAUGUCAAUAUGAGGUGCAUGACGAAGUAUUUAUUUAUUUGUUGUUUCUACAGCUCCCAGAAGUGAGACUGAGUGCCUGUUGCAGUAUGACGAGGAAGCAGUGACCAGAGACCUUCAGUAGACCCUGCUGGCAUGAUUGGUGGCUGAAGAACAUAAUCAACAGCAAUGUUUAUAAUAUUGUACAUACCUGUAUAGUCUGCACUAAAAUGCUGUACCUGUACUAUUUUUCCUCUUACUUUCAUAUUUACUAUGAAUUGACAACUUUUACUCAAAUCCAUUUUUGUAUGUGCCCUGACUAAAACUAUC